rnacentral:lncRNA from 1 species
AGGGAUGUUUUAAAUGUUUUACUGUUGGUUGUGAACCAUUUUACAUGUAAUGUGUUACAUGUUUUGAUUGAUUUGAUUUAUAUCCGCUGCGAUUUAUGCAAAUGUUUAUUUGAUUAAAUAAAGAGCAUGACUGUUAUUUUGGAACAUGGUGUGAAGUGAUUAUGUGACACCCUUAACUGCAUAAUUACUCUGAUGUUGUAUUUUGAUAUUUAAUUAAAUUAUUGGGGUAUUUUAGAAGGGUGUUACAUUAGUGGUAUCAGAGCAUAGUCG